rnacentral:rRNA from 1 species
UACGAAGGGGGCUAGCGUUGUUCGGAAUUACUGGGCGUAAAGCGCGUGUAGGCGGUUGUCCAAGUCGGGGGUGAAAGCCUUGAGCUCAACUCAAGAAAUGCACUCGAUACUGGGUGACUUGAGGACCGGAGAGGAUAGUGGAAUUCCCAGUGUAGUGGUGAAAUACGUAGAGAUUGGGAAGAACACCAGUGGCGAAGGCGGCUAUCUGGACGGUUUCUGACGCUAAGACGCGAAAGCGUGGGGAGCAAACAGG